rnacentral:rRNA from 1 species
GAUGAACGCUAGCGGCAGGCCUAAUACAUGCAAGCCGAACGGUAAUGGCGCCAGCAAUGGCGCCACUAGAGUGGCGUAAGGGUGCGUAACACGUAUGCAAUCUGCCCUUAACAAGAGGAUAGCUCCCCGAAAGGGGAAUUAAACCUCUAUGAGAUCACAUGACGGCAUCGUUGAGUGAUUAAAACUACGGUGGUUAAGGAUGAGCAUGCGACUGAUUAGCUAGUUGGUAGUGUAAAGGACUACCAAGGCGAUGAUCAGUAGGGGAACUGA